CAGGCGCGAAAACUUUACAAUGCAGGAAACUGUGAUAAGGGAACCCCGAGUGCCCGUAUACGCGGGCUGUCCAGGUGUAUAAAAAGCAUCUGAAGAAAGGGCCGGGCAAGACCGGUGCCAGCCGCCGCGGUAAUACCGGCGGCUCGAGUGGUGGCCACUAUUAUUGGGCUUAAAGCGUCCGUAGCUGGACCGUUAAGUCUCUUGGGAAAUCCGCCGGCUCAACCGGCGGGCGUCUAAGAGAUACUGAUGGUCUAGGGACCGGGAGAGGUGAGAGGUACUCCGGGGGUAGGAGUGAAAUCCUGUAAUCCCCGGGGGACCACCGAUGGCGAAGGCAUCUCACCAGAACGGCUCCGACAGUGAGGGACGAAAGCUGGGGGAGCGAACCGGAUUAGAUACCCGGGUAGUCCCAGCCGUAAACUAUGCGCGUUAGGUGUACUGGUGACCAUGAGUCACUGGGGUGCCGAAGGGAAACCGUGAAACGUGCCGCCUGGGAAGUACGG
rnacentral:rRNA from 1 species